rnacentral:rRNA from 1 species
UACAGAGGGUGCAAGCGUUAAUCGGAAUUACUGGGCGUAAAGCGCAUGUAGGUGGUUUAAUAAGUUUGAUGUGAAAUCCCUGGGCUUAACCUGGGAAUGGCGUUGAAUACUGAUAGACUAGAGUUUGACAGAGGGUCGUGGAAUUUCCGGUGUAGCGGUGAAAUGCGUAGAUAUCAGGAAGAACACCCGUGGCGAAGGCGGCUCUCUGGGACGGUACUGACGCUGAGACGCGAAAGCGUGGGGAGCGAACAGG